rnacentral:lncRNA from 1 species
ACUGCAGCAAAGUUCCUUGGUAAUUUCUCAUGAAUAGCAUCUACAAGCAUAUAUGAUAAGACAUAUGUGUGUUUCAGUGGGAUGCUGCAUCUGCUGGUGCUGUCGCGCUGCUGCCUUUCCUCUGUGAUCACAGGACCGUGAGGACUGGAGUCAUUGUGCUCCAUGUCUAUAGUCAUCCAGAAACUGUAGAUGCUGGCGAAAUAACUGCAUGUGCCACGGGGACCUUGGCACUCCACAAAUGGCUGACUGCGGAAGUCUUGCAAACAGCUUCCUGUUGAUGUCAGAGACUGUCCACCGCCUUCAUCCCCUGACCCCGUAUACUGGAACACAGACAGGUAAAGCAGACUGUAGCCGUUCCACAACUGUGUAAGGCCUGCAGGACAAGUCGGCACAUAGCGGGACUGGCUGUGCAUCACUAGAAGAAAGCCUGUAGAAAGUGUCUCAUUUCUUCCAGGGGGACCUCGAUCACCAUCUGGUCCCGGAGGUCCUGGUAUAGAAAAGGAUAAGAUGGGUUUCCAAGAGGUCCAUCUUCUCCUGGGGGCCCAGUUUGUCCAAAAAUCCCAAUGAUUCCUCUUUCCCCCUUCUCACCUGAGGAAAUAAUGCAGAUAUCAGUAAACAAAUAAAAAUAAAAAAAUCACGGCACUGGCUGACACACUAACCCCAGCAGCUUAAGACCAUCUUGCUUUUCAAGUGAAUAUUAUUCAAUGUGAUUGUGAUUAGAAAGAGAUAAACUUUUUUUCUACUUUUUGCUUACUAAUU